rnacentral:rRNA from 1 species
GAUGAACGCUGGCGGUAUGCCUUACACAUGCAAGUUGUACGAGAGUUUUUAACUCAAGUAGCGGACGGGUGAGUAACACGUGAGAAUUUGCCUUCAGGAGGGGGACAACAACUGGAAACGGUUGCUAAUACCCCAAUGCUUUCGAGUGAAAUGAAUUUAUUCGCCUGAAGAGAAGCUCGCGGCUGAUUAGCUUGUUGGUGGGGUAAGAGCCUACCAAGGCGACGAUCAGUAUCUGGUUUGAGAGGACGAUCAGACACACUGGAACUGAGACACGGUCCAGACUCCUACGGGUGGCAGCAGUGGGGAAUUUUCCGCAAUGGGCGAAAGCCUGACGGAGCAAUACCGCGUGAGGGAAGACGGCCUAUGGGUUGUAAACCUCUUUUUUCAGGGAGGAAUCAAUGACGUGUACCUGAAGAAUAAGCAUCGGCUAACUCCGUGCCAGCAGCCGCGGUAAGACGGAGGAUGCAAGUGUUAUCCGGAAUCACUGGGCGUAAAGCGUCUGUAGGUGGUUGAACAAGUCAACUGUUAAAUCUUGAGGCUCAACUUCAAAAUCGCAGUCGAAACUGUUUGACUAGAGUAUAGUAGGGGUAAAGGGAAUUUCCAGUGGAGCGGUGAAAUGCGUAGAUAUUGGAAAGAACACCGAUGGCGAAGGCACUUUACUGGGCUAUUACUGACACUCAGAGACGAAAGCUAGGGUAGCAAAUGGGAUUAGAUACCCCAGUAGUCCUAGCCGUAAACAAUGGAUACUAGUUGUUGAACAGAUCGACCUGUGCAGUAUCAAAGCUAACGCGUUAAGUAUCCCGCCUGGGAAGAUGCUCGCAAGAGU